UGCAUGCUACAACCGCUCCGAGCGGGUACCGAAGCGCGAUCGUUUAUUCGAGAGCCACCCGGGUCAGGCGAGUCUUAGACAUGAG
rfam:Paenibacillus darwinianus strain Br genomic scaffold scaffold60, whole genome shotgun sequence.